rnacentral:lncRNA from 1 species
UUCUAGAUACGACAUUAUCCUCAAUAGAUGGAUCUUACAAUCAUCGAAGCCCUAGAUGAAGGUGGCGGCAAUGACGUCGAGCAUUUUCCUCCUGAAUGUCGUAGAAUCUCGAAACUCUACAAUACAGCACUCUUGAAUUGCAGGCGGGAUGGGCUCAGGCUGAGGAGAGAGUUUGGUCGUAGGAGGCAAAGGAGAGAGAGCCCCAUGAGAAGAGGUUGUGCUGGUACAUCUAGCUCUCUCUCUCUUUCAUAGGCAGAAUACCUUUGACGGGCAUCCCUUGCAAAGGCAUUCCGCUCUCUCAUCUAUUGCUUAAUUAACUCUAAGGGUGG